rnacentral:rRNA from 1 species
UGUGUCCUACGGGGGGCAGCAGUGGGGAAUAUUGGGCAAUAGGCGCAAGCCUGACCCAGCAACGCCGCGUGAAGGAAGAAGGCUUUCGGGUUGUAAACUUCUUUUACGAGGGACGAAACAAAUGACGGUACCUCAUGAAUAAGCCACGGCUAACUACGUGCCAGCAGCCGCGGUAAUACGUAGGUGGCAAGCGUUAUCCGGAUUUACUGGGUGUAAAGGGCGUGUAGGCGGGACUGCAAGUCAGAUGUGAAAAUUAUGGG